rnacentral:rRNA from 1 species
CCUACGGGGCGCAGCAGUGAGGAAUAUUGGUCAAUGGACGCAAGUCUGAACCAGCCAUGCCGCGUGCAGGAAGACGGCUCUAUGAGUUGUAAACUGCUUUUGUACGAGGGUAAAUCCCGAUACGUGUAUCGGGUUGAAAGUAUCGUACGAAUAAGGAUCGGCUAACUCCGUGCCAGCAGCCGCGGUAAUACGGAGGAUUCAUGCGUUAUCCGGAUUUAUUGGGUUUAAAGGGUGCGUAGGCGGUUCGAUAAGUUAGAGGUGAAAGCCCGGGGCUCAACUCCGGCACUGCCUCUGAUACUGUCGGGCUAGAGUUUAGUUGCGGUAGGCGGAAUGUAUGGUGUAGCGGUGAAAUGCAUAGAGAUCAUACAGAACACCGAUUGCGAAGGCAGCUUACCAAACUACGACUGACGUUGAGGCACGAAAGCGUGGGGAGCAAACAGGAUUAGAUACCCUGGUAGUC